rnacentral:miRNA from 2 species
UUAUCCGGUAUUGGAGUUGA